rnacentral:rRNA from 1 species
GACGAACGCUGGCGGCGUGCUUAAUACAUGCAAGUCGAGCGAACAGACGAGGAGCUUGCUCCUCGGACGUUAGCGGCGGACGUGAGAGUAACAUGUGGAUAACCUACCUAUAAGACUGGGAUAACUUCGGGAAACCGGAGCUAAUACCGGAUAAUAUAUUGAUGCGCAUGGUUGAAUAGUGAAAGACGGUUUUGCUGUAACUUAUAGAUGGAUCCGCGCUGGAUUAGCUAGUUGGUAGGGUAACGGCUUACGAAGGCAACGAUGCGUUGCCGACCUGAGAGGGUGAUCGCCGACACUGGAGGUGAGACGCGGUCCAGAGUCCUACGGGAGGCAGCAGUAGGGAAUGUUCCGCAAUGGGCGGAAGCCUGACGGAGCGACGCCACGUGAGUGAUGAAGGUCUUCGGAUCGUAAGACUCUGUUAUUGGGGAAGAACAAAUGUGUAAGUAGCUAUGCACGUCUUGACGGUACCUGAUCAGGAAGCCACGGCUAACUACGUG